rnacentral:rRNA from 1 species
GUGUAAUACGUAGCUGGCUAGCGUUAUCAGAAUUAUUGGCGUAAAGCGCGCGCAGGUUGUUUCUUAAGUUUGAUGUGACACGCCCACCGGCUCAACCGUGGAGGGUCAUUGGAAACUGGGAGACUUGAGUGCAGAAGGAGGAAAGUGGACUUCCCAUGUGUAGCGGUGAAAUGCGUAGAGAUAUGGAGGACACACCAGUGGCGAAGGCGACUUUCUGGUCUGUAACUGACAGUGAGGCGCGAAAGCGUGGGCGAGCAAACAGGAUUAGAUACCCUGGUAGUCCACGCCGUAAACGAUGAGUGCUAAGUGUUAGAGGGUUUCCGCCCUUUAGUGCUGAAGUUAACGCAUUAAGCACUCCGCCUGGGGAGUACGGCCGCAAGGCUGAAACUCAAAGGAAUUGACGGGGGCCCGCACAAGCGGUGGAGCAUGUGGUUUAAUUCGAAGCAACGCGAAGAACCUUACCAGGUCUUGACAUCCUCUGAAAACCCUAGAGAUAGGGCUUCUCCUUCGGGAGCAGAGUGACAGGUGGUGCAUGGUUGUCGUCAGCUCGUGUCGUGAGAUGUUGGGUUAAGUCCCGCAACGAGCGCAACCCUUGAUUUUAGUUGCCAUCAUUAAGUUGGGCACUCUAAGGUGACUGCCGGUGACAAACCGGAGGAAGGUGGGGAUGACGUCAAAUCAUCAUGCCCCUUAUGACCUGGGCUACACACGUGCUACAAUGGACGGUACAAAGAGCUGCAAGACCGCGAGGUGGAGCUAAUCUCAUAAAACCGUUCUCAGUUCGGAUUGUAGGCUGCAACUCG